rnacentral:rRNA from 1 species
UCUGGCAACUAGCUUUUCCCACCUCUCACAUGGUUGCCCACUGAAGCUAAGCAAGGCUGUGCCUGGUUGGCACCUGGUUGGGAGAUCACAUGAGAAAGAUAGGUUGCUGCCAGAA